AUGGCUCAGAUUGAACGCUGGCGGCAUGCUUUACACAUGCAAGUCGAACGGUAACAGGGUGCUUGCACCGCUGACGAGUGGCGAACGGGUGAGUAAUAUAUCGGAACGUACCUAGUAAUGGGGGAUAACUAUCCGAAAGGAUAGCUAAUACCGCAUACGCCCUGAGGGGGAAAGAGGGGGAUCGCAAGACCUCUCGUUAUUAGAGCGGCCGAUAUCAGAUUAGCUAGUUGGUGAGGUAAAGGCUCACCAAGGCNACGAUCUGUAGCGGGUCUUAGAGGACGAUCCGCCACACUGGAACUGAGACACGGUCCAGACUCCUACGGGAGGCAGCAGUGGGGAAUCUUGGACAAUGGGCGCAAGCCUGAUCCAGCAAUGCCGCGUGCGUGAAGAAGGCCUUCGGGUUGUAAAGCGCUUUUGUUCGGGAGGAAAUCCUAGGGGCUAAUA
rnacentral:rRNA from 1 species